ensembl:lncRNA novel transcript
GAACCACCAGACAAUGGAAUAAGAAAGCAGAACACAGUGUAAUUCUCAAGCACGAAUAUAGUUUAGGUUUGGCAAGAGAACUAGGGGAGACCCGGAGUGAAUGCCACACCCAGGAUGGCCAUGGGAAUGGAAAGCCAAACACCUCUCCAGGGUACACUGAUGAUGACAUGCCACGAUGUUACUUGCAUUCUGAGGCCCUGGACUCCCACUGGGACACUGACUGGGAGAUUCUUAGAGCACUGAACGAUUGGCCCUCCACCUUCCCAGCGGCUCUUUGGGAAAAGAUGCCCAUUGCAUGAAGCGGGGCCUCUCAAGGAGGAGCCCCAGGUCACCUGUUGCAACAGAAUCGCCUGGGAGCUCCAAGGCCCAGCCCCAACCCAUACCCAAUGAGUCUGAAUCUCCAGGAGGUGCCCAGACAUCUGCACAUCCAGCAGGUUCCCAGCUUCACAUUGUAAGGCUCCACCUCUUUCCACCCCCAGGAUCUUCAGGGGCACAGUAAAGUGUCCACCAUGAGCUGCCUUCACCCCAGCCCUUGGGACCAUGUGGGGACCGGGUGGGAACUCUGGGCUCCUGUGAC